UUUUGGUUACUUUUGUUUUUGUUUUUGAGUCUUAGGAUGCCCUUUCAACUGUCUAGGAUGAUUCUAUAUCUCUGAAAUCAUGAUUAAAAGAGGAUCACAAAAUUGAGAUGAUUUUUAAAAUGGUAUUCUUUGGUUAAUUGAGAUAUAUGAAAAAUGCAUGCAUGUGUAGUGGAUAUGGAUUUCGUAACCUUGGUACAGAAUAUGAGCAUGUUAGGAUGAGUUUUGAUUCAUAAAAGCCCAUGUGAGAUAUUUGAGCCAUGUCCCUUUUUCUUGGAGUGAUAAAUGAAAAACAUAUUCUUAAUUUCUUGGCGAUAUUAAGUUUAAUGGACUAGAGAAUGCUAGAAUUCACUCUUGUGCUUGUUGAAACGUUAUAUCAAUACAUGGCCCUGAUUCUGGAAGGGAUAGAGGCAACCUAGGAAUUACCACCAUUGCCAAAUAAGCAUGUGUCCCUAUUUGUGCCCGUCGUGGGACCCCCCUAGAUAAGCCCCUUUGAGCCUACAUUAUGCCUUUUCAUUCAUCACCCUUAAAACCCUUAACCAUGAAGCUUAGUAUAGUUACAACCCUACCCUUUGUU
rnacentral:lncRNA from 1 species